ensembl:lncRNA
AGGCCCGAGCGCGGGAGAAAGUGGAGCUGAGAUUGUAGGAAAUUCGGAGUUAUAUUUUCCAGCCUCUCGGGCCAGAAGUCUCAACUACGUCCUGGGAAACAUAUAUCAAAUGGAGUUGAAGAGAAAAAAGGAGGGAAUGAGCAAACAAGUGACUGGGGCUACAGGAAGUGAUGGAGACCUCAGAGAUCAUCUGGGAUGGCCCUUCUCCUCUGGGUGAGGAAAUAAACCCAGAGAAGGAUUUUCAUAAAACAGUGCUGUUUUUCCCUGUGAGAGGAUUAGAGAUAAAAUGCUGGUGUCGCCCUGGUCUAACUUCUGCAGUGGCAUCUUUCCCCACCUCAGCAUCUGGUAAAGCAGCCUGCAGACAAGAAAGCAUCUCCUGCAGGGAAUGCAAUUUUUGACCCCCUUUGUAAAGAGGAUCUUAAAUAAAGCCAGGCCUUGUUAUGAGCCACCCAUUCAUUUUAAAAGAGCCUUUGCUGAUUUCACUUGGGGUCAUCUUUACAGUCAUUGGCAAACAAAUUGUAAUCUGCUGUGCUUUCCUUGUGGUUUCAGAGAGUCAUUUCUCUGUCUUUGACACUCUUCCCUUAAGAUUAUUUUCUCUGAGCCAGCCUGUCUAGCCCAGUCCUGAAUAUAAAUAGCUCCAAGUUUGUAUUUCUUGAGCGCGAAUGCCCUGCUAUUGCUGGGUUAUGUGAAACCCUUUCUUAUGUUGAACACAAGAAGCCCAUGAUUAUUGGUACCACAGAUUCUCACAUUCUUAAUCAGUUCCACCUGGCCAAUAAACAGUAAAGCCAGGACAGCUUCUCUUCUGUGUGGGUUUUCUACUUUAUGGGUAAUAAAACUGUCCUCAGUGUGAUUUAGGAAUCCCUUUGAUGCCUGCUAGUUUACUGUAUUGGUAUUUCAGGAGUGUUGGCAGUCACUGGUGAGACUUCACUACUGGCAUCCCAGAACUGAGACAGGGAGGUGGUUCGGCUCCAUCGUGGGCGAAACGCAGCUGAUUUCUUUCAAACAUAGAGAAAGGAAAUAAGGAGGAAAGGAGCUGUGGGGGAAGGGAAAGAAGAAAAGGGACAAUGAAGAUGGAAUGUAAUUCAUUGCUAGAAGUCAACCUCCUUGCCUGCAAGUUAAAGAAAUGAAGCUGGGCUAAGUCUUAGCUUUUCUGUUUUGCAUUAGGUAGUAAGAAAACGUGCUCUCUGCAGAUUUCAGGACAGAGAAGAGUAUGAGGAACAUCCUCCCUCUCUCAGCCCUUUGCCAGCUCCAAGUUUACGGGCUUCCCCCCACCCCCCACGCCCAGUGGGUGGUUUUGGUGAUGUGUUAAUAUUUCAUGGGGAGGUCAGUUGUGUUUAUGUUUUUAUUUUUAUUUUUUCUGACCAGUUCAUUAGGAUAUUUGAAGUGGGAAAGUCUACAUGGUGUAGGAGGUUAACUCCUAUCAGAUCAAAAGAGAAAAGAAACUGGGGCAUCCGCAAAUAGUGAAUGCUUUGUGAACUUGAGGAGCUCUUGGUGGUUGGCACUCCUUGUUUAAACUACUUCUUUUAACCACAUUAACCAAUAACCCUGGUAAAAACUUGGAACUCCUUUGGACUUGGAAGCAGUUUUGUUACAUAGUGCCCUUCCUUGUAUUAGCAUCACCUACUCUUGUCUUUAAUUAUUUGGGUCAUUUAUUCUACUUGAAUGGAAUGAAUGCCAUCAGCCUUAUCAUUACUAUCAUUAUCACAUUUUAAAGAUAAGUAAUCUUAAUUGGCUGCAGUUUAAAGAGUUUAGGGAAUGUUCGGUAAUAUAUAUGUAUAAGAGAGAACCCUCCUGUGAGUGCCUGGUGCCCAAGAGUUACUUAUCAAGUGGGUGAUAAUUGUUGGCAUAAUCUAUGUAUAUCUUUAAAGAUCCAAAUUUUCUCCUAAAAUACUUUCCCCCAAAUCAAUUAAUGUACCUUAAUUAAUGUAUUUUUUUAACUAUUGCUAUAGCUUUCUAAAAAUCUCAUUGUAAAGAUUUGUUAAUCCCUUUUGCAGAUGGUGAAAGAAUCAAGUGGAGACAGUGCAGUCUCUUGACAAUUAGCAGAAUGUGUGUGUGUGUAAGACUCUUUAACAAAUGCACUGAGCACCUAUUAUACAUGUGCCAAGAACUAUAAUAAAAGCUGGAACCACAAAAAUGUUUAAGGCAUAGACCCUAUCCUUGAGAAUUGUGUAGUGUAAUGGGGUGAUACAUUUUCAAAUAAAUAAUUAUAAUAGAAAGUGGUAGUACUAAAAUAGAAGCUAAUUUUGCCUGGGGGAGUUGAGAAAGACUCCCUGAAAAGGUACUUCUUGAAUUGAGUUUUGUGUGGUGAGCUUGGGUUUGGUAAGAGCAGGGCAGAGGAGAAUAUUCUGAAGGGAGCAAGUCUGACAAGGCAUGGAGGGUUGACGUACAUAAUCUGGGAAGAGCUGGAGUAUGGAAGAGAAGUCAAGAAUCAAGCAAUGGAAGUUCUUCUUUCUGCCUCAUUUUUACUUUUUUAAUUGCCCUGACAAAAGUUUAUGAGGGAGCAGGCUGACAGUUUAUGAGGGAUCAGUGUUCCACAAAUGUGGAUAAUUGAAAGUGUCAGAAAAUAGAUGAGUCAAAAAUACAACAACUUGACACCAAAAUGAUGGAAUCGCUAGCCAGUACCACAUGACCACAUAUUGAAUUCUUCCAGGAUUAUUAUAUCUGCUUAUAUGAAUUAUUUAUGCAUUUAUUAAUAAGGUGUACCUAGUCUUUUAAAAAGUAUUUGAAAUAAUAAUGAUUUUGAUAGGUGUCCAUAUUUAAUCAAAAUUAACAUAGUGAUAUCUUACAUUUAUACAAAAUCAACAUUUCUAGUUGGCCUGAAAGGAGAAAACAAUUUAGGCAUUGAAAAAAUUGGAUUCCAGUAAAUCCUAAAUGUGAAAGGAAACAACUUUGUGUCUUGGUUUUUGUCUACAUGAGUUAACAUUUAUAAUGUUUUGUCUCAUAUAUUUCUCCUGGAAAUAAAAUGCAUUCAAAUACUAAUAAAUUAGUGUGUCAUCCUAAUUGAAACUUGGUAAAUAAAAAAAAAAAUUGCUCAGU